UCGGGGGAUAGCUCAGGCGUGAAAAUUAGUAUGUGUUCACAAGGUUAACGAUGGAGGAAUGUAUUGUCUAGUGUUUCUUAGAGAGAUAAUAAUUCUCAAUUGUGUAUAUGGGAGAAUCCGAAAAAUCAAUAUGUGUGAGAACGUACCUCUAGGCGAUGGCUUCCUUGCUAGGUUAUACUAUCUUUGUCUGGAUUACUGUGCCACCCACUACUACCUGACACCCCCUCUGAUCUGAUGGGUUCUGCCGACUGCAUGGAACUUAUCCACUACUUUUGGCCACUGUUUUCU
rnacentral:lncRNA from 1 species